rnacentral:snRNA from 1 species
AUACUUACCUGGUUUCGGGGCCUCGUUCAUCACCGAGGAGGAGCGCCCAGGGCAAGGCGUGGGCAUUGCACUGCGCCGGCGUUGACCCCUGCCACUACCCGAAAUUGGGGCAGAUGAGUCAUGCAAAUUGCUGAAAUCCGGUAGAACGCAAGAGACUGGC